rnacentral:rRNA from 1 species
GACGAACGCUGGCGGCGUGCUUAACACAUGCAAGUCGAACGGAAAGGCCCUGCUUUUGUGGGGUGCUCGAGUGGCGAACGGGUGAGUAACACGUGAGUAACCUGCCCUUGACUUGGGAUAACUUCAGGAAACUGGGGCUAAUACCGGAAAGGAGCUUCUUCUGCCUGGUUGGGGUUGGAAAGUUUCGGCGGUUGGGGAUGGACUCGCGGCCUAUCAGCUUGGUGGUGGGGUAGUGGCUUACCAAGGCUUUGACGGGUAGCCGGCCUGAGAGGGUGACCGGCCACAUUGGGACUGAGAUACGGCCCAGACUCCUACGGGAGGCAGCAGUGGGGAGUAUUGCACAAUGGGCGGAAGCCUGAUGCAGCAACGCCGCGUGCGGGAUGACGGCCUUCGGGUUGUAAACCGCUUUCGCCUGUGACGAAGCGUGAGUGACGGUAAUGGGUAAAGAAGCACCGGCUAACUACGUG